AUUUCCAUCUCACCCGGCGCUGCCGUGUCUGGCGUGGGAGAGCUCAUCAAGCGCGUUGUGUUAGUGCAGGGAAAGGGGGGAAGCAGCAGCCUGGCCAGCGGGGCACUCCCAGGCAUUCAGAGCAGCCCAGCCACCCUCAGCUGAGACUGAUCAACUGCAAGAAGUGGGAAAUGGCAUUUUUUCCUUCCUAGGAAAAGCUUUUAUCCGUGUGUGUGUGUGUGUGUGAGGCCGUGAGGGGGGAAAGGAAGCACAGCCAGAGCUCUUCCACCUGCCUGGGGCAGUAUGGCCAUGGAUCCUCUGCUCUGAAACUCUCCUUGUCACCUCCCAGGGACAUCUGCUUGGUCUGCAAAAGAUGGAACUGGUGUCUCCACACUGCAAUAGACUGGGAGCAAGUCCAACAGAUGCACCGUGGUCAUGACAAGGCAUCCUGGAGCCCGGCAGCUCAGCUCGUUCCAAUCCGCUUCUGCUGGAGCGGGAUCGCCAAGGGAUCGGCGGGAGUCGGGAACAGCGUUUAGCACUUUGCUGACCUUGAGUCCACCUUUUCAAAACUCCUUCUGGAACCAAGAUUUUUUCCAGCCAUUUUCAAGUGAUUUCUUCCACUUUCUCCAGAGACUGAAACACUUGAUUGACCCGUGAUGUUCAGUGAAAUUCUUGCAUGGGAAAAGAAAAAAUGUUGGUAGUCGCAGACAUGAAAACAUUGGUGAACUUUUUUAAUUAGGGGUUUGAAUUAAAAUCUUCAAAAAGUUUUCCACAUGUCUGUCCAGAGUGUUUAACAACAGGUAUUUGGGAUUUCUUUUCAUUGUGAAGGAAGAUAUAGAAGCAAACAUGAAAAAUAGAUCUUUAAUUUUAAAUAUAUGAUUUUUACCUGUAUUAUACCCUUGUAGGUACCACUUUGUCUCAUUUGAGAGCUGCUAAUAACCGGGAAAUGAUGACUGAGAACUUCUGAAAUGACAUCAAGUAAAAAAUUAAAGGAUGUGAGGAGACUUUUUUUAAGAAUUAAAAGCUUUUAGAGCUGAGAUCAUGAUAAAUUAUUUCUCAGCAUUCCUUAGAAAGAAUAAUGGAGCUGAAGUUUGUACUGUGUGGAUUGUGUUACUUGAUAAAUCUCUGGCUCACAGUACCUACAUGAAAACAGGAUUUCCCAAAGACUUGCCAGGACUCUAUGCUAAAGAAGUUCACACAGGGAAAGAGGUUGUUUUUAUUUCUAACUCACUGUUACGUCUUGUAUUUUUUGCUUAAACUUGGUAGACUUUUUGUGGCAUCAAAAAUAAAAAGGUCUUCCAGCUUUAAA